UCUUAACCAUAAUACUCCCAUUUUUUUCCAUUGACUUCUCUUCCAGUUACCUUACCAUUAGUGCUCCUUAAGACUGCACUAGAUAAGAGGAUCUUAUUUAAAGAUUAAAAAAAGAAAGAAAGAUUUCAAAGCCCCUCAGGAUCUGCCUAUAAAUGAUCUUGUCUACACUAUUUCAAUGAGAUAAAGGAGAGAAGAGAGGAAAAUGAGCAUCAGAUCUCUGAUUUUAAUUUGGAGCUUUGGAGGUUUAUUCAGGAAUAUUUCCUGUUUGUGAGGAGUGUCUCCUGUACUGAAUCCUCGGACAGGUACCAUCCAGAAAGUUCUCCAGUAAUUCUUGGACUCAGCUUGGGAACUCCCACUCUGAUUGGGUAAAUUCCCAAAAGGAUUCACUCAAAGAAAGCAAAAAUGAAAGUAAGGAGGCUAACAAGGAUAGGGGAUUAAUUCAGUAUAAGAUGAAAGCCAGCGGAGAAAAGUUUGGAAUCAAGCAGAUGAGAGAACUGGUGUUUAGAGAGUUGAAGUCACUUGCCCAUGUCGCACAACUGGUAAAUAACAGACCAGCAUCCAAGUCUUCUGAUUGCUAAUUCAGUGCUCCUUCUACCAUGUCACACUGACUCUGAAAAUUUUUUAUGUAUCAAUUUAUGAAAUUAAUAAAAAGCAAUCAAGGACUAAAGUAAAAUCUUCUU